rnacentral:rRNA from 1 species
UACGUAGGGUGCAAGCGUUAAUCGGAAUUACUGGGCGUAAAGCGUGCGCAGGCGGUUAUGCAAGACAGAGGGGAAAUCCCCGGGCUCAACCUGGGAACUGCCUUUGUGACUGCAUAGCUAGAGUACGGUAGAGGGGGAUGGAAUUCCGCGUGUAGCAGUGAAAUGCGUAGAUAUGCGGAGGAACACCGAUGGCGAAGGCAAUCCCCUGGACCUGUACUGACGCUCAUGCACGAAAGCGUGGGGAGCAAACAGGAUUAGAAACCUAGUAGUCC